AGUUUCUUUGAAGGACCUCCCUACUGCUUGAGGAACAAAGGAGACAAAAAGAGUAACGCCUGUGUGGUUUGCUGUACUUCCAAGGAACUGUGGAAAAACAAAGUGCCACUGGGAGCACUGGAGGGUGCAGAGCAGCACUGUCUCCUCACCAAGCACUUCCUGUCCUCAGAACCCGGCUACUGCUGAGCUGUGUGCCGAGGGUAGCACACUCCCUCUCCAUUACACAUGUUUAGGAGCUACUAGUGUGCUCGUAAUGCAGGCCUGGUCUGGCCCUGAGGCGGAGAGGUGAUGGUACCUCUGAGACCUCAUUUUGCAGAGACCCGCGAGCCUCGCUGAGCUCUGUGGGGCCGCCCUGUAAGGCGGGAAAGUCAGCGCCUCCCUGAGGUGGCACGAUACCUGCUGUGUCCUGAUACCUGACGCCAUUUCAGGAUCGCCCGUGUGACGGCGCUGCCCUGGCAACGUGCCCUCAAUAUGGCCUCCCUGAGGUCUCGUCUGCUCCAGGCACAAAAAUCUGCGAAAAGCAGCCAGUAUUACCCCUGGGUGGGCUCAGGGAAGGGAUUUUAAUGGACAUCCCCGGGCUGCACGAGGCCCGAGCGGUUUGCUGCCUGAAUGCAAGCUGAUUUGCUCCAGGAGAGGCUGCCGGUGUGCUGGCCAAAUGCACUCUGUAAGCAGAAAUGGGAGGAGAGAGGAAAGAAAAAAAUCUUCACCCAUCUCCUUGCUGUUUGUGCUCAAGGUAUGGAUCCUAAUCUCACAUGACUGCAUAAAUCAAGAGCAGCGUUAUUGAUGACUGUAGACUCACGCUGGCAUAAUAGCAACAUGAGGCUUAUCUGGUCUCCAUCCCCCUCUGUGAAGAGCAGACAAAAAUCUCCCCAAGCUCUGACUUACCAGCGGGUCUCCCCAGGCUGUAGUGAGGCCUGCACAGUGCUAGAUAAGAAAGGAGUAUACUUCAAACAGCUCAGCAUUAAUCAGCCAGCAUGGCUUCAAGCUCAGUGUUAGAGCAAAGGAAUGCAGUUCAGAGGCUCGCUUACGUUAAAUGAAAUUAAACGAGACAGACUCACUUAAUUCUUGCUUUUAAAAAGCUCUUGAGAUGCUGUUUUAAGCUAGUUACUUUGUGAUGCCUCUGAGUAAGGUGGUUAAUCG
rnacentral:lncRNA from 1 species